AGGUUACUGCUAUCGGUGUUCGCCUAAGCCAUGCGAGUCAUAUGUUCGUAAGAACAUGGCGUACUGCUCAGUAACACGUGGAUAACCUGCCCUUGGGUCCGGCAUAACCCCGGGAAACUGGGGAUAAUUCCGGAUAACGCACAUAUGCUGGAAUGCUUUAUGCGUAAAAUGGAUUCGUCUGCCCAAGGAUGGGUCUGCGGCCUAUCAGGUAGUAGUGGGUGUAAUGUACCUACUAGCCUACGACGGGUACGGGUUGUGAGAGCAAGAGCCCGGAGAUGGAUUCUGAGACAUGAAUCCAGGCCCUACGGGGCGCAGCAGGCGCGAAAACUUUACAAUGCGGGAAACCGUGAUAAGGGGACACCGAGUGCCAGCAUCCUAUGCUGGCUGUCCGGGUGUGUAAAAUACACCUGUUAGCAAGGGCCGGGCAAGACCGGUGCCAGCCGCCGCGGUAACACCGGCGGCCCGAGUGGUGAUCGUGAUUAUUGGGUCUAAAGGGUCCGUAGCCGGUUUGGUCAGUCCUCCGGGAAAUCUGACAGCUUAACUGUUAGGCUUUCGGAGGAUACUGCCAGACUUGGAACCGGGAGAGGUAAGAGGUACUACAGGGGUAGGAGUGAAAUCUUGUAAUCCCUGUGGGACCACCUGUGGCGAAGGCGUCUUACCAGAACGGGUUCGACGGUGAGGGACGAAAGCUGGGGGCACGAACCGGAUUAGAUACCCGGGUAGUCCCGGCCGUAAACGAUGCUCGCUAGGUGUCAGGCAUGGCGCGACCGUGUCUGGUGCCGCAGGGAAGCCGUGAAGCGAGCCACCUGGGAAGUACGGCCGCAAGGCUGAAACUUAA
rnacentral:rRNA from 1 species